AAUGAACGCUGGCGGCAUGCCUAACACAUGCAAGUCGAACGAAGCCUUCGGGCUUAGUGGCGCACGGGGUGCGUAACGCGUGGGAAUCUGCCCUUGGGUUCGGAAUAACAGUUAGAAAUGACUGCUAAUACCGAAUGAUGUCGUAAGACCAAAGAUUUAUCGCCCAGGGAUGAGCCCGCGUAGGAUUAGCUAGUUGGUGUGGUAAAGGCGCACCAAGGCGACGAUCCUUAGCUGGUCUGAGAGGAUGAUCAGCCACACUGGGACUGAGACACGGCCCAGACUCCUACGGGAGGCAGCAGUGGGGAAUAUUGGACAAUGGGCGAAAGCCUGAUCCAGCAAUGCCGCGUGAGUGAUGAAGGCCUUAGGGUUGUAAAGCUCUUUUACCCGGGAUGAUAAUGACAGUACCGGGAGAAUAAGCUCCGGCUAACUCCGUGCCAGCAGCCGCGGU
rnacentral:rRNA from 1 species